CACGUUUUUAUGAAAAUGGAGCUUAUGUUUGAUAAACUACCCAGGCAAACGCUAUGGAAUGCUAUACUGCAAACCAAGCAACAGCAAGUUC